GACGAACGCUGGCGGCGUGCCUAAUACAUGCAAGUAGAACGCUGAAGGAGGAGCUUGCUUCUCUGGAUGAGUUGCGAACGGGUGAGUAACGCGUAGGUAACCUGCCUGGUAGCGGGGGAUAACUAUUGGAAACGAUAGCUAAUACCGCAUAAUAGCAGUUGUUGCAUGACAACUGUUUGAAAGGUGCAAUUGCACCACUACCAGAUGGACCUGCGUUGUAUUAGCUAGUUGGUGGGGUAACGGCUCACCAAGGCGACGAUACAUAGCCGACCUGAGAGGGUGAUCGGCCACACUGGGACUGAGACACGGCCCAGACUCCUACGGGAGGCAGCAGUAGGGAAUCUUCGGCAAUGGACGGAAGUCUGACCGAGCAACGCCGCGUGAGUGAAGAAGGUUGUCGGAUCGUAAGGCUCUGUUGUAAGAGAAGAACGAGUGUGAGAGUGGAAAGUUCACACUGUGACGGUAUCUUACCAGAAAGGGACGGCUAACUACGUG
rnacentral:rRNA from 1 species